UUACAGUAGGAAUUUAAAAUGUCCUGUGACGAAGCUCACUGGUUGGAGUUUAAGGCCGAUGGAGCAGGCGUUUCCUGCCUCACGUCCAGGAUUCGUGUAAAGCUGGUCUUCAGAAGCGUGAUGAUCAUCUGGAAACCGCGUGAACUUUAGUGAGCAGGUUAACGAAGGUGGCGUCUGAUGAGGUCUGAUGUGGCAGUCGGUCCAGCGUCUCCUCUGCUUGAGGCCCUCUGCAGGAGACAUCAGACAACAGAAACGAGCUGUGUUGCUUCAUAGAAGAUGCUCUGUAAUGAUUUAUCAGGAGCUGUGCAGGUUGUGAUUGCCAUGAAUGUCACAGCUUUAAGAGGUUCUUCAUUUCAAGUGCUCUGUUGUGCAAAAGCAUUUUAGCGUGAGACGUUUUUCUUUAUAAUUGCACCGAUACUAUAAUUAAGUGUGCGUGACCCUGUUAUCGCUCCGUUAUCUCUGACUGAAUAAAUAGUAAUGCACACGUUUAUCCUUCACCCUGACAGUUGAUUGAUUUUAUUUUACCCCGAGCAAAAGUAGUAAAAAUGCUUUGGUUUAUACCUUCAUAGAUAUAAUAAUGUUGGCUUUGGGCUGUUCUGCCUAAACUACAUGUAACAUGACGGGAGCUCGAUGUGGUGCUUGUUGUUGUUUGCUUGUUAGCGAACUUGUCUUUCUGCAGAAAAGCCUUCACUCACCUACGCGAUAACUAAAGUAAAGCGCGACUAGAGCUGUAACAUUAAAGCAGCUUCACCCAUGUUUAACACACUAAGCACAUGUUAAAAAGGAGCGUUUCUAGUCUUUGUCCUGAUUUCCACAUUAACCUUGUGUAGUUUUGUGUUGUGAGGAAGAUAUUAACACAGCUGUGCUGUAUUCAAAUGGAAAUGUGUUAACUUGUGUCUGCUGCUGUUGCCCACAGCUCAGCACAUCACACCUGUGUCUGGAUCCAGUCCACUGCUCCAUCCAAAGAACACAGACACCUGCACUUUACACGGAGCUUAGUCUUUAUUGGUACUUCUCCAGUCUCCGUAAACAGCGAUGUUUACACAGACAGUGUAUCUUGUGUGCUCAGGGAUUUUUGACCCUCUGAUGAGGAGAAAGGCUUAUCGAGGACACGCUCUGAGACGUAGCAGCGAAACUUGGCGCAGACUUUAUUAUUGUAAAUCAGUCCUUCUGUCAUCAGUGCAGCCUCCUGUUCACCCCGUGUAGCACUGAGCACCCAGUGAGGUGACACAAGCUCCAUACUCGCAGCACGCGGGGUGUGCACACAUGCCCACACUGCUGCGCACGCCCUGGGCCGCACGCCGACCCUCGCGCCUCCGCUCUGGCUGCGUCGGCGUGUUUGUGUAACUGCAGGUUGUUUGGAGUGCUUCGUACCGGCGUGUCCUACAGUCUGAUGCCCGUCAUGCACAUGUCUGAAACCAUUGUUCACAAGUGUUUUGAAAAGAAGACGAUGAACUCUUACUGGGCACAGAAAGAAUGGGCUCAUGAAGGCGGUUUGUUCACUGUCUGACGAUUCCCUUUUAUUAGUGCCACCGCGCUGUUUUCAUUCUGUUUCUGUGCGUGGGUGUGCUUCAUGUCCCAAAUGUGUCUGUUGGGCAACUUGAGGAUUGCAGUCUAUUUACAAAAUGUAAUGAGCGAUGAUCUCACUUGUCUGGAUCACAUAAUGGAAUGAUGGUCGGAGAACAAAAACAAGAACAGGAGUGGAGUUUGAAUGGAGGGUAAAUGAGAUGAGGAGGAGAUGAGUUAUGACAUUCCAUCUGAUCUAAUGAGUGUAAUAGUUUUAGUCUCUGGUGACUUGAUGAAGAGCUUUCUCUGUUGGCCGCGUUGUGUGUGCGGCCGAGGUUUUUAAUUGAAGCUUUAAAUCAGGCUGUCAUACCUGUAGGAAGGGUUGGGCCACCUCGCCUCGCCUGCUGUUAAACAAACAGGCCUUUAUUCUCAGUGGGAUGUUCAGGUGAAACCAGCAGAGAGCAGCUGCUCACUUCCCUGUUCAUCAACCGUGAGCAGCGCUUCAGUCACUUUGCUCCGUCGGUUCAACGGCCAGGAUUUUAGGGACGUCACUUGUUUGGAUCUCUGACUGAAAAGUGUACAUAGCCUGUAAAUCACCAUAUAAGCAAAUAAAGCUUAAUUAAAUACAGAGAAUAAAGUGUCCUGUUCUGAUUGCGUCCCUUCAGCUGCAGACGAUGAAGAACCUGUAAUUGAACUCUUUAAUAUUCUCCAAGUCGUGACUGACAUUACGCAGCCACAGUUCCCACUACAUCUGCUCCAUUCAACCAUGUUUGUGUUAGCAGCAUUGACCAUUAUCCCUUGGCUUAUUGGGCAGACAAUCUGCAUAAUCAAAAAACUGUUCGUGUAACACUAUACGUUAAUGUUGGGCUCCGUAAACAGUGACGCUGUUUAUAGAAAAUAAUUCCUUUAGAAUAUAACAUAAUGUCACUUUACAUGUAAAACUUGAUCACUAUUCAAUUCAACGUAUUUAUAUGUAGCUCAACAAUGGAGAGGCUGAGCUUUGGCUAUGGUCGGAUAGAGCAUAAGAACCAGAACAGGCAGGUUGGGCCAACACGAGCAAAGCCGCUCCGCUCCACUCCACUGGAGCCUGGAAACGGUGGGGAACCAGGACUGUCCUGAUCAACCACUGCUGCAGUGAGGAUGAAUCCCAAAACCGGGCUCGCACGGCACGACAGCGGUUCCCUCCCUGACGCUCGUCACUCUUCCCACCGUCGGGGGUUGAAGCAGUUCAAAGGCUGUGGAAGAGGCCGCUCCUGAAUGCGUGGCGUGUAGUUACAGACGCUACUUGUUAUUAUGCAGUAAUUGAGGAUCAGAAGACACUUGUAAGUACUUGACCCUCUCUGUUUUAAGCCAUUCUGUCAGUUGACUUACAGUCACACUCACUCAGCGUCUUUUCAUAAAGUUCUUUAUUCUCACAAAAAGAAGACAGGUGAGAAAUUAGGCCUCAUAAGCGCCCUCCUACCGUCCUCCUUUCCCUGCGCGUCUGCAGACCUGAUUCCCGGCUGCUCCUCGCCCUCGGGCGGAGGGGAUUUUACUUAAGAUCAUGAUUGCACCAAUAAUGGUGCUCAUUAGCGCAGGGCACAACAGCCGUCUGAGCGUCUCCAGUGUGAGAAGCUGCUCGUGGAGUGUGAUGAACGCGGCUGCGCUGUGUUCUGUGAGCGCUGGUCGUGACGCGGUAAUGGAUGGCCUUUAGGUACCAUUCGUCAUGGGUGAGGCUGAUGGACAUGAGAGGCAGCGGCGCUGGUGCCAAGUCUGACUGUUGACUUUACGCUUGUAACCUCUCUGUCUUUCUGAGCUCAUUCCACAGACAGCUCUUGUUUGUUUUUGUUUGAAUUCAACAUGGUUUCAUCAUCAUUAUCACGUAAAUCAUCCGACGGUGGCGUAAUCGUUUAACAGCACGGUGCACUGAGGUUACCUGCAGCUAAUGUCGAUUUCUAUUAAGAAUUUCUCCCAAAUAAAUUUGUCACUGAUGUAUUUUUGCCGCUGACACGCAGCAGCUUUGGAGCGAGCGGUGGCCGUCACUUUAAUUCAUCUGGUGAUCGGUGUGUGAGGCAGGAAUGCCUUCAGUUUGUCCAGAGCUCAUUGUUCACAACUGCAGUCCUGAUGUUGGAGUGGGUGUGGUCUGUCUGUCCUGGUUUUGUCUGACAGUCACAGAAUUCCUCUUCCCGUACGGGAUCAGUUCUGCCUGUUGCCUGGAGUCAGAUGCCUCCUUGGUUUAAACGUGGGGUCUCUCCUCUCUGCAGAUGGAAAUGUGUGCUUGUUUCCCACCGUGGGCAACUGUGACUUUUCUAUUACACGUGUAGUGAUGACGAACAGAACUGAUUAGUCUGUGCCUGUGUGCAAACUCCAAAGAAAACACACUCUGUUUUCUUUACUUCUCACUGCUCCGCACACAAAACAAUUAGAAGGUUAAGCAAGAAGCGUCCGGGGAGCAGCGGCGUGCAGCGCGUCUGCGCAGUGCGUCUGCGCAGCGCGUCUGCGCAGCGCAGCAGCGUGGAGCCGUCCGUGCCCGGCCUCUCGUUGCUCCACUGUAGCUCAACUCCUCAUAAUUGUGGUGUCAGGGUUCGGGCGAGGCUUGAGGGCCCUCUGACGUUCCUCCCCGGUCCCCCCAGGCAUUCCUUUCCUCAAUUACCAGAAUAAUGACGGGAAAAAGGCCGUAGAUACACAAACAGCGUCCAGGGCAGGGUCACACUUUCCUCCGAGCAGCCUGCCUUCGACAGUGACGAGCGUUACGCGUUACUAAAGCUGCCAUGGCCGCCGUGCACCUCCACUGGGCAGUGGCCGUGUGGCCACCGGCUAAACCUCUGCAAUAACAGGCUCCAAGUGAUGCCUGUUGCAGUAAAAGUCAGCGCUCGCGACCGUUGUGCAGCAGAUCUAGUUGUGGUGGAAUUAAAGCGUGGCAGCGGAGCUGUGGAAUAAAAACGGGCUCGUCCGUCGGCCCACGCAGCUGCGAGCGUCUGUCUGACGCCCGGUCCGUGACGCCUCAGCGUGUGCAGACACCUCGUGGGUCGGACUCAGCGCUGGGCCUUUGGAGCUGAACCCGCUCAUCUCCUGUUAAGGCUGUUGACCCCACACAUGGACGAGAAUCCAGGCUCUUUUUACUCUGUUUGAAUUAGGGCGCUUUUAAUUUUAAGCAUUGACUAAAAUAAAGGAGUGUAAAAUAUUUAAAAAAAAAAAACCUAGUAAAGACUAAAUCUAAUGUUUUCAGUGCUUCUCUCCUCAGUAGACGACUAACAUGACUCCAUUUUGUUUAAAACUGCGAUUUUAAUUAAACAGAAUAUUAUGUCUACAUAUUAACUUAAGGAUUAUUUUAUAUUUCAUUUAAUCACAUUUGAGGGAGAUUUUUACCCAGGAAUCACAUUUAUUUAGCGUAUGAGAAAAUCUACUUUAACUACUUUAUUACAUUAUCAUAUUCCUCUGUUGAAUAUCACUUUAGCAUUAAUAAUAAAUAAGAAUUAGAAAUAAUUAAAUAUUUCUUUCAAUAUUUAAACUACUUGGUUUUUCACUCACUAAAAGUAAGUUUAAUUGAGGUUUCCUAAAUUGAGCAGAUGCUGCUUCAAUUGUAAACAGUUAAUAUUGUAAUAUUUUAUUGCUUUUUUUAAUUUAACAAAUAGAGAAAAAAUCAAAGUUUCUUCCUUGCUCCGAGCCGAGGAUGCGGUGGAUGUACAGUCUGAGGCUCCACAGCUGCUUUGACCUGCUGCUGCUGCAGCCUCUGUAGCUUCAGCGUGCGCUGCUCUGGUUUCUGUUGGAACUUGUGCCGUUUUGACUCCGAGACCUCGGAGAACAAGCGAGGGAACGUCUCCCCAGAUGCCAGAUGUUUCCCUGCCUCUGCUCUGUGACAUGUCUUCAUUCAGUGUGUGGAGCCCAGGCAAGUUGCGAGACAUUACCACGGUGUCAGUCAGCGCCUCGCGGCCCCGGGGACCGACCCAGGAACACACACCGGCGCUGGCGCUGGCUGCGGCUCCGGCCGUUGGAGGCUUAACUUGGUUCUUUUCCCCUUUAUUGCCUUUGACUUGUAGUAAAAUAUGUCCCAUCGUAACCACAUGUGAAGUCUCACCGCUGCUGCUCCUUAUUUCUGUAAAUUUAUGGGUCAAACAUUGGAUAAUGGAACGGUCUUUGUUAUUGUAGAGCAUUCGCUUAGUUGAACCCUUUUAAUACUGAACA